rnacentral:rRNA from 1 species
UAGAGAAUCUUCCACAAUGGACGCAAGUCUGAUGGAGCAACGCCGCGUGAGUGAAGAAGGUUUUCGGAUCGUAAAGCUCUGUUGUUGGUGAAGAAGGAUAGAGGUAGUAACUGGCCUUUAUUUGACGGUAAUCAACCAGAAAGUCACGGCUAACUACGUGCCAGCAGCCGCGGUAAUACGUAGGUGGCAAGCGUUGUCCGGAUUUAUUGGGCGUAAAGCGAGCGCAGGCGGAAGAAUAAGUCUGAUGUGAAAACCCUCGGCUUAACCGAGGAACUGCUUCGGAAACUGUUUUUCUUGAGUGCAGAAGAGGAGAGUGGAAUUCCAUGUGUAGCGGUGGAAUGCGUAGAUAUAUGGAAGAACACCAGUGGCGAAGGCGACUCUCUGGUCUGCAACUGACGCUGAGGCUCGAAAGCAUGGGUAGCGAACAGG